rnacentral:tRNA from 1 species
UAAAGCUUAGUGGCAAAGCACUUGCCUAGCAUGCAUGCAGCCCUGAGUUCAAUCCUCAGUA